rnacentral:rRNA from 1 species
UACGUAGGGUGCAAGCGUUGUCCGGAAUUAUUGGGCGUAAAGAGCUUGUAGGCGGUUUGUCGCGUCGUUCGUGAAAACCCGCAGCUCAACUGUGGGCUUGCAGCCGAUACGGGCGGGCUGGAGUUCGGUAGGGGAGACUGGAAUUCCUGGUGUAGCGGUGAAAUGCGCAGAUAUCAGGAGGAACACCGGUGGCGAAGGCGGGUCUCUGGGCCGAUACUGACGCUGAGGAGCGAAAGCGUGGGGGAGCGAACAGG